GAUGAAGAACGCAGCGAAAUGCGAUAAGUAAUGUGAAUUGCAGAAUUCAGUGAAUCAUCGAAUCUUUGAACGCACAUUGCGCCCGUCAGUAUUCUGGCGGGCAUGCCUGUUCGAGCGUCAUUACGCCCCUCAAGUCCCCUGUGGACUUGGUGUUGGGGAUCGGCGAGGCUGGUUUUCCAGCACAGCCGUCCCUUAAAUUAAUUGGCGGUCUCGUCGUGGCCCUCCUCUGCGCAGUAGUAAAACACUCGCAACAGGAGCCCGGCGCGGUCCACUGCCGUAAAACCCCCAACUUUUUAUAGUUGACCUCGAAUCAGGUAGGACUACCCGCUGAACUUAAGCAUAUCAAUAAGCGGAGGA
rnacentral:misc_RNA from 1 species